UACGUAGGGGGCAAGCGUUGUCCGGAUUUAUUGGGCGUAAAGAGCGUGUAGGCGGCUGGGUAGGUCCGUUGUGAAAACUCGAGGCUCAACCUCGAGACGCCGAUGGAAACCCCCUGGCUAGAGUCCGGAAGAGGAGAGUGGAAUUCCUGGUGUAGCGGUGAAAUGCGUAGAGAUCGGGAGGAACACCAGUGGCGAAGGCGGCCUUCUGGACCAGUACUGACGCUCAUGCACGAAAGCGUGGGGAGCAAACAGG
rnacentral:rRNA from 1 species